ACGGCUAUGUCCGGUGCGUAAAAAAGUGAGUUUUAGGGCAAAGGCCUCCAUCGUCAGAGACGGCAUCGCAAGCAGUGGACGAGCAAAUUUGUUUGACUUUCGUAAAAUCUAUGGCAAUUUUUGGUUAGUCCAUGUGAGAACAGGAGCAUGUGUCCCAUCCAAGCCAAAUCUGAGAGUCAUGUUAACAGCACAGGUAGUGUUGUUUUUAUUUAGUUAAAAUGGAUAUAGAAUAAGAGAAGCAUCUAGAUGCAAAGACAAUCUCUCGCAUGUUAUAUCGACUUGGCAUAGACAACUAAAAUGUCCUGCCUUAUAUACCUGUUAAUUAAGACCAAGUUAAUAUGAGAAACGCACAUAUAAAAUGUGUUUAUUUUA